rnacentral:rRNA from 1 species
UACGAAGGGUGCAAGCGUUGUUCGGAUUUAUUGGGCGUAAAGCGCGCGCAGGCGGAUUAGUAAGUCAUAUGUGAAAUCUCGGAGCUUAACUCCGAAACAGCAUUCGAUACUGCCGUGCUUGAGGACUGGAGAGGAGACUGGAAUUUACGGUGUAGCGGUGAAAUGCGUAGAUAUCGUAAGGAAGACCAGUGGCGAAGGCGGGUCUCUGGACAGUUCCUGACGCUGAGGCACGAAGGUCAGGGGAGCAAACGGG